GAUCAUGGCUCAGGAUGAACGCUGGCGGCGUGCCUAACACAUGCAAGUCGAGCGAAGCGAUUGGAAUGAGACUUCGGUGGAAUUUUGAUUGACUGAGCGGCGGACGGGUGAGUAACGCGUGGAAAACCUGCCUCAUACAGGGGGAUAACAGUUAGAAAUGACUGCUAAUACCGCAUAAGCGCACAGCACCGCAUGGUGCAGUGUGAAAAACUCCGGU
rnacentral:rRNA from 1 species